rnacentral:miRNA from 1 species
GGUUGGUGCAAAAGUAACUGCGGUUUUUGCCACUACUUUUAAAUAGCAAAAACUACAAUUACUUUUGCACCAA